rnacentral:rRNA from 1 species
UACGUAGGGUGCAAGCGUUGUCCGGAAUUAUUGGGCGUAAAGAGCGUGUAGGCGGCCAGGUAGGUCUGCUGUGAAAACUCGAGGCUUAACCUCGAGAUGUCGGCGGAAACCAUCUGGCUAGAGUCCGGAAGAGGAGAGUGGAAUUCCUGGUGUAGCGGUGAAAUGCGCAGAUAUCAGGAAGAACACCCGUGGCGAAGGCGGCUCGCUGGGACGGUACUGACGCUGAGGCGCGAAAGCGUGGGGAGCAAACAGG